GUCGGUAGAGCAGGGGAUUGAAAAUCCCCGUGUCCUUGGUUCGAUUCCGAGUCCGGGCACCA
rnacentral:tRNA from 1 species